GUAGGGCAGCGAAUCAUCUAAACUAGGGACGCGGUAUUGAUACCCGACCCUUUGCUGAGAUCACUUAUUAUACAACCACAGAUAAGAUUUUAGAUAGAAGUUGGAAUGGGGUGAAGUGCUGCAUGGCAUGAGGGAGGGGCCCUGCGAUCUUUAGCUUGGUAUGAUAAAGAGCGCAUCCCGAUGCAUUGAGGAUCGGGAAUGUGUUCUGUUCCCCUAUACAAUGGUGAUGAACAGGUAGAGCAGUGUUAUGUUGGCGGUGCGACUGGGACCUUGGAGGGGCGAAUACGUGAACAUGGGGCAGAUGUCGCAGCAGGUAGAUUGACCACAGCAUAUGACCAGGAUGUAACGAUGGACUGGCCGAAUGCCAGCUUGAUCAGAUGUGUUACUGGCUCUAGGGGCCUUGUUGCGUUUGA
rnacentral:lncRNA from 1 species